UACAGAGGGUGCAAGCGUUAAUCGGAAUUACUGGGCGUAAAGCGUGCGCAGGCGGUUAUGCAAGACAGAGGUGAAAUCCCCGGGCUUAACCUGGGAACUGCGCUUGUAACUGGCAAGCUUGAGUGUGGCAGAGGGGGGUGGAAUUCCACGUGUAGCAGUGAAAUGCGUAGAGAUGUGGAGGAACACCGAUGGCGAAGGCAGCCCCCUGGGCUAACACUGACGCUCAUGCACGAAAGCGUGGGGAGCAAACAGG
rnacentral:rRNA from 1 species